ACCAUGUGAUCACCCUCGCGCCCGACGCAGAGUAGCUGUAAUAAAUGCUCGGGAAGUUAUAGAGAGAAAGGAUACGAUCCCAGUGAUUAAUGCCAAAGCCCUGUUGCCUGUGGAGAGGGUGAUGCUUGACUUUCUUGUACAGCUGCAGUUUGUGUGGUGAAGGUGCUCCCACAAUGUGGUUGGGAUACUACAGGUGGACAUUCAGAUGGUAAUCUCAGUCAUUGUAACACCAAACUCUGAUUGAAUUAGUCAAUUCAUCAGGACCUGGAUAUUCGCAU